rfam:Homo sapiens chromosome 9, GRCh38 reference primary assembly.
GCCAGGCAUGGUGGUGCAUGCCUGUAGUCCCAGCUACUCAGGAGGCUGAGGUGGAAGGAUGGCUUGAGUCCAGGAAGUGGAGGUUGCAGUGAGCCAAGAUAGGGCCACUGCAUUCCAGCCUGGGCAACAGAGGGAGACUCCAUCUCAA